rnacentral:tRNA from 1 species
GGAAGUGUUUGCACACCUGGUGGUGGCCGCGGUCUUCAAAACCGUUGGGCGGUGCGUAAAUCGUAUUGCCAGUGGGUUCGAUUCCCAUACACUUCCGCCA